GCGAACAAGAUACACACAAAUUCUCAUGGAAUAUAAAUCUAAUUGAUUACAUAUAUAUAUAUAUAUGUAUAUAUAUUCUAUUAUUAGUAGUAGAGCUUCUUGAAUUGUAGAAGAAGCCAACUGACCCAUAUGGGGAGCUUUAGUAACAGUUUUUAUUUCUAGUGCAUCGAUGGUGCUUGUUGCUUUCAGAUGCCUCUUCUUAUCUCCUGGAAUUUCUUGUCAAAUCUGUCGAAUUUUUAUUCCGAGAGAGAUGGAUUGCUUCUCAUCUCCUCCCAAUCCUUACACAAACAUCUAUAUAAGGCGGCACUCGACGGCCAUAGAAAUCAUCAAGCUCGAAACCAAAGACAUCUGAAUUAAACAAGUUAUCAGCAAGAGCAAGAGAAUAUGUCUGGGUACCGCAGGUCUCAAAUUCGCUACACCCCAACAGGAGGGCCGACUUUUAACAGGAAUGCUUCCGAUGGAUCCCAAGCCAACACUGUCGGGUGCGGGAACCAAGUCGAUUCUAGGAUGAACGAUUGUUAUGGUAACUAUAAACACGACACCACCCAGAAUUACAGUGGUAAGUUUGCUAACUUCAAUGCUGGAGAGCACAAUAACUCCAAGAACGAUCUGGGUGGAACUUUCAAUAUGUAAGGAGAGCUGGAAGGAUUAGUGUUCUUACAUUCAUGUAAUGUAAGACUUCUAUGUAUGAAGUAAUUAAAUAAAACGAGGCUCCUAGGUCUCUUUUCGUUUUACUAAUUUUCUUCGUUAUUGCGAACUAAUCAUAUUUUCUUCUUCAAAAUUAAAUAACAAACUAGUUAACGAUAAACAUGCAAUCGAAACACCAUUUGAAGAAUGUAAAUUAGAGAUCAUCUGUAACUUUUCUGAAAUUCGUUAACUUUGACUUAGGAUAACCCCUUCUUGUUCAUUAAAAUUGGUUCCUGAACUUCAGUCUACUGCGAGACGAGUUCUUCAACUCAAAAGGUUGUUCAUUAACCGUGUCUAAGAAGUAAUUACUAAAGUAAAAUUCAGCUCUGCCGAAACUCGGAAAUUGGACGUGCGUAGGAUCCAUUUCUGAUUGCAAGUCGAUAGCCAGGACAAGUUCUGACCUUCGUUUGUGGGAUUGGCCAUGCACAGCACUGUAGAAAUUCUCAAUACAAAAUUCCCAAAACAAAGUGGAACAAGUAAUAAACUCUAAUCCUCUCUUUUCUAAUACAUUCACUAAGUAUAAGAAACAUUCGAGCUCAGGAACAAGGCUACUAAGACUGUAUCUUGGCGUUGGAAUUGCUCUCCGGUUCUCGACUACUACCACGUCUGGACGGAAGCAUGCUGGAUUCUUGAAACCAUGAAUGGACUUCUUUAAAUUGUAUUCUAGUAAUUCUAUGUACUAAUAAUUCAGUAAAACUUUUUUUUUCUUAUAAAAAAGAUUAUAUUUUAAGAAAUUUAAUGUUAAUAUAUUAACUUAUUAAUAUACUAAGAUGAUACACGAAUAUAAGUUUAUAACAUAUAUUAUUGUAAUUUAAAUUACUAUAUAUUAUUAAUUGUAAGUCAUGAUGCAUACCAAAACAAUUGUGGUAUAGAGCAUAUAUCCACUGGACAUGCCUUAUCUCUAGUGGCUGCGGCUUUCAGAUGCCUCAACUCGGAAUUUGUUUUUUAAUAAAAUCAUACAAGUUAACAUGUGCAAUUUCUUAUCACAUAGUAAUAAUGUAUGAAGAGAUACGAUCAACAUAUAAAGCCGAUUCGUUCUCAUCCCAAGUUGUUACCCUGUCCAUAAGAUAAACAUCUAUAUAAGGCACUCGAUGGGGUGCUCUAAAACUCAUCGAGCCACCGAAUUAAGAGAUUUGGAUUAAACAACUGAUCAACGAGAGUUUCGCCAAUGGCCGGGAGGUAACCUCAAUACAGGAGGCCAAUGCGAUAUGAAAUACCAUACGAGCCAGUCCCAGGGCCUACUUUUAACAACAAUGGCAGCGUUGGAACGCAGGCCAACACUGUUGGAAAUGGUAACUACGUUGAUUCUCGAAUUACCGGCAGUUAUAACCAUCGUAACUACAACAAAACUGAGAAUUACAGUGGUAAAUUUGCUAACUUCAAUGCUGGCAAAUACAACGAUUCAAACAACAAUCUGAGUGGAACUUUCAAUAUGAAAUAAUCUCCCAUGGUCUGCCAUGAGGAGUAACUAAUCUUACGUUCAUGUAAUGUAAGACGUUUAUCUAUGAAGCAAUUAAAUAAAAGAAUGUUCUGCUAUCUGUCUAAUUACUGGCUCUUUUUAUUUAUUUUAUUAGCUAAGUUUUUGUUUAAUGAGUUCAAUUAACCAAAUUGAAAUUUGUAAUCCCAAAAAGUUAUAUCGUAAUCCUGAUUAGAAUCAAUAUGAGAAUCUAUAGUAACUUAUAUAUUUGUAAAGAAACUGAUAAAAGAAGUACACUGCAGCAAGAACUUCAUAACCGAGUAAGAAACUUGUAUGUCGAAAAAUAUAAGAUGCUCCAGAAGCACAAAUGAAUUACAAGGUAUAAUAAAUUAUUAACAAAUUUUGAAUUUUGGUUCUAUGAUUUUUUGACAAAAUUUUGAAACAAAUCAAUUAUAUUUAUCAAGUCUACCAACUUAUUUGUGUUCUUGGAAUACCUGAUGAUUGUUAUCAUCAGAGCUCUCUUUUUACCCUAUAACUAAAAGUAUGAGUUGAAUUAUCAACCAGAUCCUUGUUAAGUCUGCAAAGAGAUCGUAACACAAUGCGAGGAACCUGUCCUGAUUUAGAAAGAACUAAAGAAGAAUUUGGAAGUACAUGAACGAAGAACAAGAAAGGAUUUGGAGAGAAUAAGAAAAAAUAGCAGAAGAUUUAGAGAUAAGAAAAAUUAAGAAGAGAAUAAGAAAUCCUAGACGACUGAUUCAAUUCAAAAGGAUUUGUGUUUACAAAAAUUAUCUGCUCAUAAUCUCCAUUUCUUUCUCUUUUAUAUCAGUUUCUCUAAUAGCAGCAAAGCAGAAAUUACAACUAUUCUCUAAUUAAUUUUCAUUAAUCCAGACAACCAAACUAGUUAUUAUCUCCAAAACUAACCAAUAUGAAAUUUGGGUCCUGACACAUACAACAUGGCAAGCUUUAUCUAAUCGAUCUCUCAUGUUGAGAUUUUCACCCAGAUCAUUUUGGAGUCACAUUUCCCUUGGUUGAAAUUGGCAAAUUUACUUCUGUAAUUCUUAGUACUGGGUGUGUAGGCGUGUUGUAAGACUUAGUGAGGGAAAAUGUUCGGAUAGUUGUUGUCUCCAACAGUUUUCGGCCUGGGGAGAUAAUGCUUGCCAUUGUUGUUAAAGAUAGGCCCUGGAACAUGCCAACGCUACGAACAUUGCACGUGUAGUUUUAUUCUAUUCUCAAACUGUUCUAUCAAAGAAUUCGAGCAUACAAGUAUUCGGAAAAUAGCAAGCACUAAUAAAGAACAACGGCUUGUAGAUAUUAGCCAACAUGAUAUUUUUUCUUUUUCCCCCUUUUGAGGAUAUAUGCUCAUCCCAAUUGCGAGGAAUGUGAUUCUACGAACUAAAUUCUAUAUUACUUUAUACUCUACUUUGGAGGAAAGAAGAAAAACAAGUUUCUGCAAAAUUUUUCUAUAAUUUUUUUCUGACAAAGACUUGAAUUAGACUCUGAAAAUGUUCAUUUCUAGUUUUGUAGCAGCUAAUUGUAAUUUCUGUAAGAACACAUAGAUAUAUACCAAUAGAAAUAAUAACUAUUGAGGUAAAAGGGUCAAAAGACCCAAAAUGAAUAAUGCAUGUAAUUGAUUACACACACACACACUCAUAUAUAUAUAUAUAUAUAUAUUCUACUGUUAGUAGUAGAUCUUCUUGAAUUCCAGAAGAAACCAACUUACCCCAAUAUAGAGAGCUUUAGAAACAAAAUUUUUACCUCUAGUGCGUCGGAUGCUUUAGUAACAACUUUAUGUCUAGUGCGUUGGUAGUGCUUAUUGCUUUCAGAUGCCUCUUUUUAUCUCCUGGAAUUUCUUAUCAAAUCAGUCGAAUUUUUAGUCCGAUAAUGAUGGAUUGCUUCUCAUCUCAUCCCAGUCCUUACAUAAAUGUCUAUAUAAGGUGGCACUCGACGGCCAUUAAAAAUCAUCAAGCUCGAAAUUAAAGACAUCUGAAUUAAACAAGUGAUCAGCAAGAGUAGGAGAAAAUGUCUGGCUACAGAAAUGCUCAAAUCCGUUACACCCCGACCGGAGGGCCUACUUUUAACAGAAAUGCUUCCAGUGGGUCUGAAGCAAACACUGUUGGGAACUGUAACAAAGUCGAUUCUCGGAUGAACGAUUGUUACAAUGAGCAUAAAUAUGAUACCACUCAGCACUACAGUGGUAAGUUUGCUAACUUCAAUGCUGGAGAGCACAAUGAUUCCAAGAACAAUCUGAGUGGAACUUUCAAUAUGUAAGGAGAGCUGGAAGGAUAAAUAAUCUUACAUUCAUGCAAUGUAAGACUUCUUAUGUAUGAAGCUAUGAAAUAAAACAAGGCUCUCUUUUAUAUAUAUUCUAUUUAGCUUCUUCAUUUUUCGAGCUAAUAUGUUGCGUUUCCAAAUAUGAAUAAUUAACAUGAAGAAUUGCGCCAACCCGUAAGAUUACAGAUUAAGUUUACUUGUCCGAAAUUUGGUGGUUAUAUCGCACUCUCACACAAAAGAAAGGGAACUCAAUUACAUUUCCAAAAAAUCACUUAAAAAAACAACUUAAGAAAUCAUUUGGUGAACUCAAAGUAGAAUCGUAAACUCAACUGAAGCGUAAUCGAACACAACUAUGUAACUAGAGAGGAUUUUUUGCACCGAAAACCGAAC
rnacentral:lncRNA from 1 species